rnacentral:rRNA from 1 species
GCGCGGAUGGCCACACGUCCGCCAUCCUGCGGCCUCCCCGACGUCGUGGGUGCCUACUAGACCGCUCUCGCGGCACCUCGGCGAACCCUAGCCUCGCAAUCCCCUUCCUCUCGCUCUCUUUCUACUAGAGCUCGCGCCCGAGACUCCCGUCAGCGCCGCGUCGUCGUUGCCGUGCUCCGAGGCAUCCCCGAGCUGCUACAAGGUGGCCAGGAUCCUCCCCGACCUCGUCUCCUUCACCUACACCUCUGGAUCGAAGCCAAAAGGCCAUGUAUGUUCCGCAUCGAGCUGCAAUCCUCACCACCAUGGCCGCCGCGGCCAUCGCCGUCGAUGUCCACCACCGGCGCCUCCCCGACCUUCCCCGAGCUCGCCUACGUUCUCCCCGACCCCGAGGCCGCAGCCGGUACCCCCGAUCGACUACGGUGUUGACGACCCCUACUUGUUUGAGCAACCAGACGAUGGAGCCCAGGAGCCAGACGCCACUGCCGAUGACGACUACUACUACUCGGGAGGUGCCUACUACUACGUGCAGCCCGCUGACGGCGACCAGGAGUAGUUUAGGAGGAUCCCAGGCAGGAGGCCUGCGCCUCUUUCAAUCUGUAUCCCAGUUUGUGCUAGCCUUCUUAAGGCAAACUUGUUUAACUUAUGUCUGUACUCAGAUAUUGUUGGUUCCGCUGACUCGUCUAUGAUUGAGCUCUUGUAUUCGAGCCUUCGAGGCCCCUGGCUUGUAAUAUGAUGCUUGUAUGACUUAUUUUAUUUGUAGAGCUG